rnacentral:rRNA from 1 species
AGAUUGAACGCUGGCGGCAGGCCUAACACAUGCAAGUCGAGCGGUAGAGAGGUGCUUGCACCUCUUGAGAGCGGCGGACGGGUGAGUAAUGCCUAGGAAUCUGCCUAGUGGUGGGGGAUAACGUUCGGAAACGGACGCUAAUACCGCAUACGUCCUACGGGAGAAAGCGGGGGACCUUCGGGCCUCGCGCCAUUAGAUGAGCUUAGGUCGGAUUAGCUAGUUGGUGAGGUAAAGGCUCACCAAGGCGACGAUCCGUAACUGGUCUGAGAGGAUGAUCAGUCACACUGGAACUGAGACACGGUCCAGACUCCUACGGGAGGCAGCAGUGGGGAAUAUUGGACAAUGGGCGAAAGCCUGAUCAGCCAUGCCGCGUGUGUGAAGAAGGUCUUCGGAUUGUAAAGCACUUUAAGUGGAGAAGGUUGUAACUUAAUACGUUGCAACUUUGACGUUACCGACAGAAUAAGCACGGCUAAUCGCGCAGCAGCG